AAGCUUUCUUGGCCUUUCGGCUAUGAUCAAGUGUGGUAUUUGUUCUUAUCAAUUUAAUAUUUGAUAUUGGCUCAAUGGCCCACGCCGUAUAAAUUCUAUUAUUCGGGUGGAUGGCCCAUUAAGCUAUCUUGGGAAUGUUAUGCUGUGCACCAUUCAUUCAAGGUGUCAAUC
rnacentral:snRNA from 1 species